rnacentral:rRNA from 1 species
GACAGAGGGUGCGAACGUUGUUCGGAAUUACUGGGCGUAAAGCGCGUGUAGGCGGCCGCGCAAGUCGGGCGUGAAAUCCCACGGCUCAACCGUGGAAGUGCACUCGAAACUGCGCAGCUAGAGUCCUGGAGAGGAAGGUGGAAUGCUUGGUGUAGAGGUGAAAUUCGUAGAUAUCAAGCGGAACACCGGUGGCGAAGGCGGCCUUCUGGACAGUGACUGACGCUGAGACGCGAAAGCGUGGGGAGCAAACAGG